AGUGAACGCUGGCGGUAGGCCUAACACAUGCAAGUCGAACGGCAGCACAGUAAGAGCUUGCUCUUACGGGUGGCGAGUGGCGGACGGGUGAGGAAUACAUCGGAAUCUACUUUUUCGUGGGGGAUAACGUAGGGAAACUUACGCUAAUACCGCAUACGACCUACGGGUGAAAGCAGGGGAUCUUCGGACCUUGCGCGAUUGAAUGAGCCGAUGUCGGAUUAACUAGUUGGCGGGGUAAAGGCCCACCAAGGCGACGAUCCGUAGCUGGUCUGAGAGGAUGAUCAGCCACACUGGAACUGAGACACGGUCCAGACUCCUACGGGAGGCAGCAGUGGGGAAUAUUGGACAAUGGGCGCAAGCCUGAUCCAGCCAUACCGCGUGGGUGAAGAAGGCCUUCGGGUUGUAAAGCCCUUUUGUUGGGAAAGAAAAGCAGCAGGUUAAUACCCCGCUGUUCUGACGGUACCCAAAGAAUAAGCACUGGCUAACUUCGUG
rnacentral:rRNA from 1 species